GAUGAACGCUGGCGGCGUGCCUAACACAUGCAAGUCGAACGGAAAGGCCCUGAUCUUGUGGGGUUCACGAGUGGCGAACGGGUGAGUAACACGCGAGUAUCAUGCCCUUGUCUUUGGGAUAACUUCAGGAAACUGCGGCUAAUAUAGGAUAGGAUCUACUGCUGCAUGGUGGGGGUUGGAAAGUUUCGGCGGUUGGGGAUGGACUCGCGGCUUAUGAGCUUGUUGGUGGGGUAGUGGCGUCCCAGGGAUUUGACGGGUAGCCGGCCUGGGAGUGUGACCGGGCACAGAGGCACUGAGGAACGGCCCAUACGCCUACGGGAGGCAGGAGUGGAAGAUAGAGCAAAAUGGGCGGAGGGCUGGAGGAACAACUCCGGGUGCGAGAUGACGGCCUUCGGGGAAUAAACCACUUUCGCCUAUGACGAAGCGUGAUGACGGGAACUGAGUAAAGAGGCACGGGUAAACUAGUG
rnacentral:rRNA from 1 species